rnacentral:misc_RNA from 1 species
GUAGGUGAACCUGCGGAAGGAUCAUUAAUGAGAACUUGCCCUUCGGGGUAGAUCUCCCACCCUAUGUUUACAUUACCUUUGUUGCUUUGGCAGGCCCGUCUUCGGACCACCGGCUUCGGCUGGUCAGCGCUUGCCAGAGGAUCUCAAACUCUAUAUUUUAUGUUGUCUGAGUACUAUUUUAAUAAGUUAAAACUUUCAACAACGGAUCUCUUGGUUCUG